rnacentral:snRNA from 1 species
GGCUGUGAGGGUGAUCUGGCUGUGACAUCUUUCACCCCAUCGAUCGCCAGGGUUGAUUCGGCUGAUCUGGCUGGCUAGGUGGGUGUCCGCCUCCUCCCUCAAUGAUCCAUGUGCAUCCCUCCCGAAGCUGCGUGUUUGGUCGAAGAGGAUGACCACCCCCGACAGAGGAGGACCAUUCCUCGGUCAAGGGCCUACCAGUAGCUGCUCUCCCCUGCUAGAACCUCCAAACAAGCUCUCAAGGAAUGCAAAUUAAAACAACACUAGGGUUCUAUCAGAAAGAAUGGCACUUAUCAAGAAGUCAAGGAAUAACAAGUGCUGGCGAGACU